GACGUAGGGGGCGAGCGUUGUCCGGAUUCAUUGGGCGUAAAGCGCGCGUAGGCGGCCCGGUAAGUCGGAUGUGAAAUCUCACGGCUCAACCGUGGAACUGCAUUCGAAACUGUCGGGCUAGAGGCAGGUAGGGGAGAUCGGAACUCCCGGUGUAGCGGUGAAAUGCGCAGAUAUCGGGAGGAACACCGGUGGCGAAGGCGGAUCUCUGGGCCUGUCCUGACGCUCAGGCGCGAAAGCUAGGGGAGCGAACAGG
rnacentral:rRNA from 1 species